GGAGGCUGCUGAAGGGGAGAAAGGAGUGAGGAGCUGCUGGGCAGAGAGGGACUGUCCGGCUCCCAGAUGCUGGGCCUCCUGGGGAGCACAGCCCUCGUGGGAUGGAUCACAGGUGCUGCUGUGGCGGUCCUGCUGCUGCUGCUGCUGCUGGCCACCUGCCUUUUCCACGGACGGCAGGACUGUGACGUGGAGAGGAACCGUACAGCUGCAGGGGGAAACCGAGUCCGCCGGGCCCAGCCUUGGCCCUUCCGGCGGCGGGGCCACCUGGGAAUCUUUCACCAUCACCGUCAUCCUGGCCACGUAUCUCAUGUGCCGAAUGUGGGCCUCCACCACCACCACCACCCCCGCCACACCCCUCACCACCUCCACCACCACCACCACCCCCACCGCCACCAUCCCCGCCACGCUCGCUGAGGCUGCUGUCGCCGGUGCCUGUGGACAGCAGCUGCCCCUGCCCUCCCAUCUGUUCCCAGGACAAGUGGACCCCAUGUUUCCAUGUGGAAGGAUGCAUCUCUGGGGUGAACGAGGGGAACAAUAGACUGGGGCUUGCUCCAGCUGCAUUUGCAUGGCAUGCCCCAGUGUACUAUGGCAGCAGAGAAUGGAGGAACACUGGGUCUGCAGUGCUGAAGGGUUUGGGGAGUGGAGAGCAAGGGUGCUCUUUCGGGGCUGGACAGCCCGUCUUGUGACAGUGACUCCCAGUGAGCCCCAGAAAUGACAAGCGUGUCUUGGCAGAGCCAGCACACAAGUGGAUGUGAAGUGCCCGUCUUGACCUCCUCAUCAGGCUGCUGCAGGCCUCUGGCGGGCAGGGCACUGGGAGAGGCCCUGAGAAUGUCCUUUUGGUUUGGAGAAGGCAGUGUGAGGCUGCACAGUCAAUUCAUCGGUGCCUUAGUCCAAGAAAAUAAAAACCACUAAGAAGCUUUUGUGAAGAGGCUCUUGAUUGCAGCAUAGUGGGAGGGAGGGAGCUGCCUGGCCUGUGUCCUCAUUGCCCUGGGACCUCCCUCUCUGAUGGGAAGCGUGUGGCUGGAGCAGGCGAAGGUUGGAGCCGCUGCGAGCCUGGCUCCCCAGGGCUCUGCCCCUGUACUUUUUUCAGCCCAUGUCCAGGGCAGACUGAGCUCUGAAACUCGAGGAAGCCCCAUCCACAGGCUGCCUUGAAUCCAGUUUCCUUGGUAAUUGGAUCAGGGUUUCUUCUCCAAGCCUUGCGUUUUCAGCCAUCCUGCCCCAGCUGGUGCCUGUGUGUGGUGGGAGGGCUGGGAGGCAGCGAGUGGAGUUCUUUAAAGUGGAGGCUGUGGUGCUGGGGUGCAGGGUGUUGGAUGGCCUUGGGAGAAUGCUGGGGUCUCACUUUCCUCUUCUCUGCAAUGGGGUGGAUAACAGAGAUGCCCACGUGCCGAAGCCUGGAGGCUCGUUGGAAUAUGCUCUGUGAACAGCUAGUGGGAUCCACAGCGAGGAAGGAAGCCUGGCUCUGAGGCCUUCAGCCUGUGCCUGUGAGCUGAGGUGGGAAUUGGGGGAAGACAAGGACUGGGGGCCAGGAGAGGCAGUGGGGAGGGGCUGGAGAGCAGGCCAGAGACUCAGGGACCUGGUGACUCACUGGAAUAGAAUGUCCUCUUUCCUUUCUAUUUCCCAGUGGAUUCUCUGUGAGGGCUGCAGGAGGAGGGAGUGAGAGAGAGAGGGAGGCAAAUUCACACUGAUUUCUCCCACCUGAGGUUUCUGGGUUGGGAAAGUUGACCCUAGGCUGCCGUGCAGUGUCGAUUUUCUCUGCAGUGUCCUUCAAAUCCACCCCCUUCUCCAUUCCCAUGCCCUGCCUAGCCCAGCCCCCUCCAUCCCCCUCCUGGAUUCCUGCCAGCCUGCUCCCUGCAGCCCUGCCCCUUUCCCAGGCAUCUCCAGGCUGAUUUCACAGAUGAAUCAAAGAUGGGGAGGAGGUUCCCCGAAAGCAGGAAACGGAAAAGGAAGCCUAUGCAGGGCAGGAGAGAACCCGCUGAGCAAUUGCCCUUUAUUCCAGUUCAAAAAUGCGGAACCACUCAGACAAUCUGCAGGCGGCCUAUGGCUGCGUGUACACAGGAAGAAUAGGCGAUGAGAAAUCAAAGGAACAAAUGUUAAAGCUUGAGGCAUAGUCUCCUGGUGCCCUCUAUCACCCCAGUUAAGGAGGUGAUGUUGGUAACUCAACCUGAAACCACAGGCCCUGCAGAUCAGCCCGUCGUCUCCUUCCUCCUGGUCAUCCCAGUUAAUACAAACAAUCCAAGGAAUUGGCUUCCUGUCAUGGCCCACAGCCUGCUCCAUGUGGAGGAGGAGCCCAGGGCCCAGAUGGUCUCAUCAUCUCAGAAAAGGGACAGAUUGAGAAUAUGACAGGCUAUCGUUUGCUCUGAAAAGUUGCUCUCCCAUUCUGUGCAAAGUGCCAGUUUCCUAAUGCUGAUACUAAAGAAAGUUCCCUUGGGCCUUGGAGAAACUGAAAAGGACCCAGGCUAUGUGAACUUGGGCCAGCCCUCUGCCCUUUCUGGCACUUUGCACCCAGAUCAUUAAAACCGCAGAAUCAGAUGGUCGCUCUGUGGUCCCAUGGUAACUGGAAAGUGCACUGAGCUAGGAGUGGAGGGAGGGCGGUCCCUCCUCGGCCAUUGCUCGUGCCUGUUAACAUGGCUAAUUCAGAAUGGGGGGCAGGUCAUUUAACUUCUAUGACCAUAGGAUCUUUUUCUAUAAAAUGGAGGCUAUAUCGCUAUGCAGGGUUGCUGGGGAGGUUAUAUGAGAUCAUGUCUGGUGAGGUCCCAUGCCUGGAGUUAUUGUUCUCACUACUCUGUUUCCCAGAAUAUGGACAAAGUGGGGCUAAUAGCCCAGUCUCCUUUCUGGAAGUGGUGGGGGUCUCAGGAGGUGCUGGGUGUGAAAGGGCUCUCACCUGGCAGACUAACUCAGUUGCCUGGGCCUAGCUUAUUCCCCUGACCUCCUGGCAGGGAGGAGGGUGGAAAAGGCCUGGGGUGCGCAUGGCGGGACGGGAUAACUGCUGAGCGGGGGUUGGAGGGCUGCAGUGUGGGUCCUGGGCCCUCGCUCACAAUUGGAGGAAAGAAUUCAGGAAGUGCUCACAGCUGCUCAGACAUCUCGGAGCCAAGUUCCAACCAGGACAGAGGCUGCAGCACCCAGGGAGGAACGCCGUGGUCCCUGGGACGGCCACCAGGCCAGGAGGCUGCAGCACCAGGGAAUCUGUGCUCACGUCUUCCAGGACAGUGCUUCUUCUAGAAGCUGACAUGGAGCUGACCACAGCUCUUGGAGGCAUGGCCUGAGGCUUAGAAAAUAGACAGAGAUCAUCUGAGAUUUCAGCAGUGGGGCCACGUGGCAGCGCCCGAAGGCCUGGAGCAGGAGCGACCCAGGGACUCAGAGCAGCAUCUUCUUAGGAGACGGAAGGAGAGCCGCCGGAGGAGCACGGGGCACCUGCGAUCGCGAAGAGCCUCCUGUUCUGGAUGGGAGCGAAGGCUCCGAGAGGACCUAAGGUUGCUCAGUGGGCCAUGGAAACGGCAGUGAUUGGGGUGGUGGUGGUGCUGUUCGUGGUGACUGUGGCCAUCACCUGCGUCCUCUGCUGCUUCAGCUGUGACUCAAGGGCCCAGGAUCCUCAGGGGGGUCCUGGCCGCAGCUUCACGGUGGCCACGUUUCGCCAGGAAGCUUCUCUCUUCACGGGGCCUGUUCGCCAUGCCCAGCCAGUGCCAAGUGCCCAGGACUUCUGGACCUUCAUGUGACGCCCGAGUCCCCAGGAUUUGCUGUGCUGAUGGGUCAGACUCACCCGCUCCUCAGCAAGCCUUCCCUGGCCUUCCCCUCCUCCCAGGGCCUUCUCCCUGUCCUUCCCCUCCAGUAACCUGUGAACUUCCCGUCUCCUCCCAUUCCAGCCUUCUGUGCCCUCCAGCCUCAGGGAUCCUUGUUAUUGGGACAGCCCAGCUGGGGUUGACCCACAGGAUGGGGCUUAGGAGAGCUCUGAGGAGUGAGUGAACAGACAGCGCCGGAGUGCACGGUGGGCCGGCUCUGCUGAUCUACACCAGGAACUGAAAUAUCACUGGAAUUUAUUGUAAACGGUGUGCCUAUGAUGCUGGUUCUGUUGCCACCUGGGCACGCAGCACCCUCAAGUGGACAUUUCUAGAAACCGCUUCUUACUUGCUCCUAAUUGAUUACUUUUGCACAUUGCACAGAACCCAACCUCGAGGCCUGCUCCCUGCCAGUUGCCUGAAAUCAGCCCUGAAAUUCUGAAACCAAAGAGCUGCUUCCUGAGAACAAGUUAUUUACCUUAGAAUUGAAAAUGUAUAUCCUUUUAUGGGCCUUUCCAAAUCUGAUUAGAAAAACCACAAAAGGAAACAGAAGAGAAAAUAAGAGCCACAGAAAGUACAAUAUGUUUUAUUAACAGGAAAGCCAGAAAUAAGAUAUUUUAAACAUAUUUUUAAUGAGACUUUAUUGCUAUAUUCCAACAGGUCACUCCUAUUCUUAGAGAAUGUGAAUGACUUGUGUCACUUCGGAGUGACAGAAAAAUCAGGAACUGAAAGAUAAUUCCAGACAAGUUAAAAUGUUAUGUUACAUUCAAAGCUCUUGUUUUCAUCACAAAUAAGGGGAUAUUCAGUUUUUAUUAACAGAAAACCCAUUCUCCCAUGGCCAUGGAAUAAAUGCCAUGCUAUAUUUAAGGAGUUUGGUUUGAAGGGUGCAAAAUUGUGAGCCUCCUGGCUCUUAUGUCUGUAUCCAGCCCUGAAUAGAUGGCUCUCCCAGGACCUGUUUGUUGAGGGGGGCAGGACUGAGCUUUAGGGGGGCUCUGGCCUCUAAGGGUGUCCAGACAGGCUGCCCUUGCCAUGUGGCUGCCAUGGGAAGGGCUUUCAGAGUGGCUUGGAGCUGGAGAGGUGCACGCGGGGAGGGGGAAGUGGUGGGGAGAGUGAGGCUGACGGAGAGGGAUGGGGAGGAGCAUGGUGGGCGAGGCUCAGCCCAGGUCCAGGAGCUCCUGGGACCAUGUCCUGGACACUCCUGACACCAGCCCUCGACGCAGGGCCUUCAGAGAUGCACAGAGAAGGGAACGGCACAUGUGGGGAGGCCCUGGAGACGGAGGGAAGAGAACUUUUGAGGGCUGUGUUCUCUAAAAGCGAACAGUGAGACAAAGUUCGGGUGCAAGAUAUUUGUCAGGGAUCAACACCUACAAAGGGGAGAAGGAAGAAGCAGGAUUGGGCAGAGGAAGAAGUCAAACCGUGAUGCAGGUCCUUCAUAUCCCCACCUUUGCUCCGUCUCUGAGUCCCUCUCCCCUCUCCCAGGGUCUGACCUCAGCCAGGGCAGCUCUCUGCAGCUGAGGCAGGUCUUGAAGCCCUUCCUAUUUUAUUAUUUUUAUUUUAUUUUAUUUUAUUUUAUUUUAUUUUAGGAGAUGGGAUCUCACUCUGCCACCUGGGCCAGAGUGCAGUCGUGUGAUCAUAGGUCACUGCAGCCUCAAAUUCCAGGGCUCAGUCAAUCCUCCCACCUCCGCCUCCUGAGUGGCUGGGACUAUAGGUGCAUGCCACCGUGCCUAGCUAAUUAAAAAAUCCUUUUCUUGUAGAGAUGGGAUUUCACUAUGUUUCCAAACCUGGUCUUGAACUCUCCUGGCCUCAAGUGAUCCUCCCACCUUGGCCUCCCAAAAUGUUGGGAUUACAGGUGUGAGCCAUUGCAUUUGGCUGAAGUCCUUCCUUUGAAGGGGACCUGGGCAGCACAUCUCCACAGAAACUCUGUAGGGUCCUGUUCUUGGAAGAGCCUAGACUGGUCAGAGGUGGGUGAAUAUGUCCAGACACAAAGAAAAACCUGGGCACAGGAGAUCUAUGAGAGGAGAGACGGCCGUGCAGGAUCUGGAAGGGAGAAGAGUGGGCCUCAGUCUCCCUCUCUCCUCAGCCAGAGUCAGCUCUGCUCCAGCUCAGGCACCCUUCACCAGGAGCCAGGCCCAGGGCUCUGCUCUUGUACUGUGUGGUCACAGCACUCACUAGGUCAGUCCGGGAGGGUCUGCAGGCUGGAAUCACAGGGCCGUGAAAACAAAGUGCUGGUGAAGCGGGCAUGGGGAGGGAGCCUGGCCUCCCUCUGCAGGAGACAGGCUGUCUGCCAAGCCCGGCACGCUCUUCAUUUGUUCACCUGCCCAUCUGCCCAUCCAUCCACCCACCCAUCCAUCUACUCCUGGAGUAGAUGCCGCCUCACUUACCCAUGCAUUCAUUCACUUAUUCAUUCACUCCUCCGUUCAGUAAACACUGACUGGGCACUGACUGUGUACCCAGCCCGGCCAAGGGAACGUGGGGGUCAACUGGACAUUUGGAUCCCGUGGACUCCUAGAUAAGGCUGUAUGUGUGUGGUGUGUUUUAUGUGGGUAUGAUGAGUAUGUGGUGUGUGUGUAAGCUGUAUAUGUGUAGUGAGUGUGUGUGGUGUGUGUUUUUGUAUUCUGUGAUGUGUGUGUAAGCUGUAUGUGUGUAGUGAGUGUGUGUGUUUUUGUUUGCUGUGGUGUGUGUGUAAGCUGUAUGUGUGUAGUGAGUGUGUGUGUUUUUGUUUGCUGUGAUGUGUGUGUAAGCUGUAUGUGUGUAGUGAGUGUGUGUGUUUUUGUUUGCUGUGGUGUGUGUGUAAGCUGUAUGUGUGUAGUGAGUGUGUGUGUUUUUGUUUGCUGUGGUGUGUGUGUAAGCUGUAUGUGUGUAGUGUGUAUUUUUUUAUGCUGUGGUGUGUGUGUAAGCUGUAUGUGUGUAGUGUGUGUGUUUUUGUAUGCUGUAGUGUGUGUGUAAGUUGUAUGUGUGUAGUGAGUGUGUGUGUUUUUGUUUGCUGUGGUGUGUGUGUAAGCUGUAUGUGUGUAGUGUGUGUGUUUUUGUAUGCUGUGGUGUGUGUGUAAGCUGUAUGUGUGUAGUGUGUGUGUUUUUGUAUGCUGUAGUGUGUGUGUAAGUUGUAUGUGUGUAGUGUGUGUGUUUUUGUAUGCUGUGGUGUGUGUGUAAGCUGUAUGUGUGUAGUGUGUGUGUUUUUGUAUGCUGUGGUGUGUGUGUAAGCUGUAUGUGUGUAGUGUGUGUGUUUUUGUAUGCUGUAGUGUGUGUGUAAGUUGUAUGUGUGUAGUGAGUGUGUGUGUUUUUGUUUGCUGUGGUGUGUGUGUAAGUUGUAUGUGUGUAGUGAGUGUGUGUUUUUGUAUGCUGUAGUGUGUGUGUAAGCUGUAUGUGUGUAGUGAGUGUGUGUGUUUUUGUAUGCUGUAGUGUGUGUGUAAGCUGUAUGUGUGUAGUGAGUGUGUGUGUUUUUGUUUGCUGUGGUGUGUGUGUAAGUUGUAUGUGUGUGGUGAGUGUGUGUGUUUUUGUAUGCUGUGGUGUGUGUGUAAGUUGUAUGUGUGUAGUGUGUGUUUUUGUAUUCUGUGAUGUGUGUGUAAGCUGUAUGUGUGUAGUGAGUGUGUGUGUUUUUGUAUGCUGUGGUGUGUGUGUAAGUUGUAUGUGUGUAGUGAGUGUGUGUGUUUUUGUAUGCUGUAGUGUGUGUUGGCCCCAGGUACCCCUGCCAUUCUCCGCAGUGUAGCCUGCUGUAUAAGAAGCAGGAGGGGCCCAGCAACAGGGCAGCGGAAGCCUCUUGCUAUGACGGUGGCCUCUUCCUAUUGUCCCCAAGGGCAGGAGGUGGCUGUGCAGGGACAAGACUGAGGCUGGCGCCAACAUGCAGCAAAGCCGGGAGUGCUUAUCUGGUGGUAGUGAGGGAAGCGGCUGUGCAAGGUCACCCUGGAAUCUGGGGUGGAGCCACACUCAGGCCUCCCAGCUUCCAAACCGAGCAUUCUCAAUUCUACUUCUCUUGCUGGUUCCAUUUACUUGCCUUUUUUUUUUUUGGAGACGGAGUCUUGCUCUGUCGUCCAGGCUAGAGUGCAGUGGCAUGAUCUUGGCUCACUACAAGCUCUGCCCCUGGGGUUCAUGCCAUUCUCCUGCCUCAGCUCCACAGGAGCCCGCCACCAUGCCCUGCUAAUUUUUUUGUAUUUUUAGUAGAGACGGGGUUUCACCGUGUUAGCCGGGAUGGUCUCCAUCUCCUGACCUCGUGAUCGCCUGCUUCAGCCUCCCAAAGUGCUGGGAUUACAGGCGUGAGCUACCGCGCCCAGCCCAUUUACUGGACUUUUAUGACACACCAGGCACAUUGUGCUUCCUCUGUGUCCUCUCAUGAGUGUAUACAGCAACUCCAUCACCUCCAUUUUACAGAUGAGGGAACCGAGCCCCCAUGCUUUGAGCCACUUUGGGCAAAUACCAAAUCUGCAGAACAGUGCUAAGUAGUCAUUUUCCUCCAUAAGUGAUAUCUGCAUCCAGCCAAUUCUCAGGGACACAGUUCAUAUCUUCAGGAGGAAGGGAGCCAGGGGAUCUGAUUUGCUCCAGGUUCACCUGAGCAAAAGCCUUGCUGGCACCUACCCAUCUGCACCUUUUUUUUUUUUUUUUUUUUUUGAGGCAGAGUCUGGAUCUGUCGCCCAGGCUGGAAUGCAAUGGCACGAUCUCAUCUCACUGCAACGUCCGCCUCCUGGGUUCAAGCAAUUCUCAUGCCUCAGCCUCCCGAGUAGCUGGGAUUAAAGGUGCACACGACCACCCCUGGCUAAUUUUUGUAGUUUUUGCAGAGAUGGGGUUUCACCACGUUGGCCAGGCUGGUGUCAAACUCCUGGCCUGAAGUGAUCCACUGGCCUCGGCCUCCCAAAAUGCUGGGAUUACAGGUGUGAGCCACCACUCCCGGCCCCAUCUGCAUCUUUGACUUGAAGAAGAAGCAGGUCUUUGCCCUGUACAGUUUUAAUUGACAGUCCAGGAAGCCUCCCUCAUAGAGUAAACUUCUGUGGACGGCUGGAAUUAAGGGUUAACAGACAUCAGUCCUGACCCAGCCUGCUUAAGGCCUUCCUAAGGCUUUGCACCUGCAGAGAUACAGGCCGUGCCUCUCUGAGCAAUGAGUCUUGCUUCUCCUUCACUUCCUGGGGCUUCUCUCAGCUCCACAUGGGGCAAAGAGCAGGGAGAACCCUGCUCAGUUCUGUCUAGCCCGACUGGGACGUGGAAAGGCUAAUCCGAGCCCCACUUCUGCCACUCAGUUGCUGGGCCUCAGUUUCCCUGGCUGUACGGAGAAGGUAAGAAUCCCAUCCCGGCUUGUCUAGAGGACGUGUUAGAGUGAAGAUCCUGGGAACCCAGCUGUCAGGAACGGUCAAGGGAAAGAGGCCCGCCCCGCUCUGCCUGCCCUCCUCCCCACCACCUCCAACCCUCGCCCUGCUCUUUCUCCGCAUUCCUGGACCUGAAACCAGGGUGGCGUUUCUCGCUGGGACAGGCUGGAUUCUGGAAUCUAGGAGGCCUUGAAAUAACAUGUUUUCCGGAAAAGUACCUUCCUUAAAGGAAACUGCUUGUUCCAGGGAGUAGAAAAGGAUCAUUGUACCUUGCCAGGUCCCCAUUCCCCUGAGGACAUGACAUUUGAAAAGGCAGACUCAGUUGGAGACAGAGACCUGCACCCCCUGCCCUGUGCCUCCAUCCAGCAUAUUCGUAAUAGUGAAAAGUUAGAAACCACCUCGACACCAGCAGGAGGGGGCUGGGCUGGCAAAUUGCAACACAGCCACAGAAUCAAAUGCUAGGCAGGUGUUAACGACAAUGAGGUAAAUUUAAACUCAUUAACCUGAAAGGGCAUUUAUCAUGUGUUGGUAAAUUAAAAGGGAAUUAGAGGACUAUAAAUGUAGCUGCACCCUUAGACGCAUAGAAGACGAUGUGGAGAGCUGUAUGCCGAGGUGUUGAUAGGCCAUUGUCUCUGGGUGGGUGGGACUGUUUGUGCAUUUUAUUUUUUAUUUACUUACUUUUUUUUUUUUUUGAGAUAGAACUUUGCUCUCUUUGCCCAGGCUGGAGUGCAGUGGCACGAUCUCGGCUCACUGCAUCCUCUGCCUCCUGGGUUCAAGUGAUUCUCCUGCCUCAGCCUCCCAAGUAGCUGGGACUACAGGCAGGCGCUACCACACUUGGCUAAUUUUGUAUUUUUAGUAGAGACAGGGUUUAACCAUGUUGGCCAGGCUGGUCUUGAACUCCUGACCUCAGGUGAUCUGCCCACCUCGGCCUCCCAAAGUGCUGAGAUUACAGGCGUGAGCCACUGCGCCUUGCCUAUUUGUGCAUUUUAAAUGUUUUCCCUUUGUGUUUAUCUGAAUUUCUCAUAAUGAAUGAUUUGCUCUUGAAUAAGAAAGAGCAAGAACCUAACAAAGGAACAAAAGUUAUUUUAAAAAUUAUAAAACAAACCAACUCCAAUCUAAGAGAUACAAAAACACAGUCAGGCAUAGACACAAAAAUGGGGGCAGAUGAAUUUCUCAGAACAGAUACAAUGAUAAGGACACACACACACAUACACACAGACACACACCUCUCUUCUGCCUAAUUCACAUGGCUGAGGUAGGCAAGGCUGGGGAGUUGCAAGCGGUAGGGGUUUGCCAAGUUUCCAGGAACACCGGAGUCUGGGUGUUGGGGUGGCUGCUGGAGCUUCUGGGCAGGUUGGGUGGGCUGAGGAGAGUACAGGGAGCAGCCUGGGGCUCACUAGCCUGAGUGAGAGGCCUGGCUGUACGACACCCAGCCUGCACCUCCUGGGACAGGGUAAGGCUCCUAAUCCCAGCUCCCCAGUUCAGGCAAGACUGAGGAGCCUGCCAAAGCAACUCUUCCCCAUCCCAGCAGUGGAGGGAGACAGCAGGGUCCACAGCUGGGGAGGAGCUUCCUGGCAACCACCUACGACUUCCAGGCUGAGGCCUUGUCAGCUGCCUACGGACCCCACUUAGGAAGCCAGGGCUGUGGUGGCUCAUACAGGGACCCUCUGUCCUUGUCCUCCUGAGAUACAGGCACAGCCACAGCCCUGGUGUGGGGCCUGGCCUGAGGCAAGGGGUGGAUGCAUGUCCUCCAUCAUCCCCACUGUCACUGUGCUUGCGCAGACCUCACCAUGUCAUCUCCUUAUGGGCCUCCCUGGCCUCACCUCACCCCUGCCCACCCGGCCGCCAGAGAGCUCUUUCUUGGACACAGACCUAACUCCUUAGAGGGCUAUUGGGUGGGUCUCUGUUCCCACCUUCAGAGUUCGCUAUCUGUGGUAGGCAUAAUAAUCAUCCCUCAAAGAUGUCCAUGUCCUAAUCCCUAGAAGCUGAGAAAAUGUUAUGUUCACCAAGGGGAAUUAAGAUUGCAGAUGAAAUCACAGUUGCUAAUCGGUAGACCUUAAAUAAGAUUAUCCCAGAUUAUCUGGGCAGGCCCAAUGCAGUAAGAAAUGUCCCUUCACUGUGGAGGAGGAGGGCAGAGGAGUCAGGGCAGGUGAUGUAAGAAAGACCUGAAGACAGAAGCAGGCCACCAGCCAAGGAGUGUGAGAGUCUCUAGAAACCAGAAAGGAAAAGACAAGGAAAAGCAUUCUCCCCAGUUGCCUCCAGAUGGGAACAUAGCCCUGCCAACAUCUUUUUUUUUUUUUUUUUUUGAGACUGAGUCUCGCUCUGUCGCCCGGGCUGGAGUGCAGUGGUGCGAUCUCGGCUCACUGCAAGCUCCGCCUCCCAGGUUCACGCCAUUCUCCUGCCUCAACCUCCCCGCCCGGCUAGUUUUUUGUAUUUUUAGUAGAGAUGGGGUUUCACUGUGUUAGCCAGGAUAGUCUCGAUCUCCUGACCUUGUGAUCCGCCCGUCUCAGCCUCCCAAAGUGCUGGGAUUACAGGCGUGAGCCACCGCGCCCGGCCUGCCCUGCCAACAUUUUGAUUUUAGCCUAGUGAGUCCUAUUUUGGUCUCUGAUCUCCAGAACUAUAAGAUAAUACAUUUGUGUUGUUUUAAGCCACUAUAUUUAUGCUAAGUUGUUAUAGCAACAAAGUAUUCUUAGCUCAACCAUUAGUGCUCACAAAGACUUAGCCUUGAAUUAGCUCCUCUAGUUAAAUCUAUUCCUGGCCGCCAAGAGACAGAGAAAGGUGGCCUCUGAGGGGGUCAGGUCUUACAGCUGAAGAAGGCUGUUGGGUCUGGAGUAUGGGUGGGCUGACCACUUAGAGAUAGGGAAGGGAGUCAGAAAUUACAUUUCCUAGUAAGUAGGAUGAGAGUGAUAAUGUGACAAUUGUCAGGCCCUGCACCAGGUGUUGGGCAAUGUGCAAACCCAGUCAUCCUUAUCCUUACCCUACAGAAACACCCACGCAAGUGUGCAAGCAUGUACGUCCAAGGUUGUUCUUACAGUAUUGUUUCUAUUAGCAAAACAUUAUAAAAAUCCAAGUACCCAUCAAUUGGGAAAUACAUAAAGAUUAUGAUACAGCCACAAAAAAUGGAAUAAUAGGCAGCCAUUACAAAAAUGUACUGACUUGGAAACUGCCCUCUAUACAUAGAGAAAAAACAGCAAGUUACAGAAUGGUCUCAUAAAACAAAAACAAAAACAAACAAACCAAAAAACACUUUUCCUCCUCAAGAAAACAAAAAUAAGAACAAAAAAACCUCCUAAAUUACACAUAUGCGUAUGUGUUUGUAUGAACCUAGGAAAAUGUCAGGAAGGAUGUGAUGGCCUCUGGGGGACAGGCUUGGAGGAAGAAGGAAGCUUAUGUUUUACUUCAUAUCCUUCUGUCCUGUUCCACCUUAUUUGAACAAGCAUGUGUUGCUUUUUAUUACAAUGUUAAAAGGAAAAAUCCUUAGACUAACUAAGUUCAACAGUUUACUUGACCAAUUAAAAUGAUUCAAAACAAAGAGAAACAAAAAACAAUUUGGGAAUCAGGCAGCCCCCCAGAACCAAAACAGGUUCAGAGAACUUUCAGAGAACUCAGGCCAACACCAUGAUCAGGCAACAUUUGUAGAUAGAGAGAGAACAGAAGUGAGAUACAGAGACAACUUAAUUGGUUACAGCUUAAUUGGUUGAUUAGUUCUACCUAAACGUCUUACCUUAUUCAACUCAGCUGACCUACUGUAGUUCAUUAAGUUCAGCUGUGUGACUCACUGAACCUCAACCAUUUGCAAGAAUAUAUUCCUAAAGUAAUUAGUUUCAUUAAGCGUGAUGGCUUCAUAUUGGUUUGGUCUGCUAGGCUCAGUAAAGGACACUAAUUCAAAUCAAUGGCCUCCUAUUUUAACACAUAAUAACUUUUUUAAUGUUAAGAUAACACAGGUUAAGAAAGCAAACUUGACUGUCCUGUUCUGUGACAAACAGCUGUUAUUUGCAAAAAGGACUCCCUGGGUUGAGGGAGACCAGAGCUCCACUUAGCAAGGCCACUCAGGAAACAGAUGGACCAACUUGAGUUCUUUUUCUGUGUGAGCUCAUCUGGGGAAUGAGACACUGUGGAUCUUCUGAGUGGAAAAGUGGAGUCAUUCAAGCCCUCCUGGCUUCUACAGAGGUGAGAGCUGAAGUUCUGAAAGGGGAACUGACAUAUUCCUCUACAUUUUAUGGCACUUCCAGACUAAAAUAUAACUUUCUGGCCUCCAUUUCAGUGAACUUUGAACUUCCUCAAAACUCACACUCCCCUUUUCGUAAUCCAUAAUUUUUAUGUGAGGGAUAAAAUUUUCUGUUUUACAGCCUGAUCCUGGCUACUUACAGAAUGGCUGCACUUUAAACCCAAGGUGUUCUUUGCACCCUGUAGCCCCAGCCCAUAAAAGAGACAAACACUGGCAGAGAGAUGGUCCCAGGAGAGCAGCCGGGAGGAGGCACUGGAGUUCAGGGCUCCAGUCCCAGCUCUGCUCAUCUGGCUCCUAUGACGAGGGUUGUAUCCAGUGUGUGGACGUCCCCUCUCCUCAGGCUGGAAACCCUCUGAGGUCAGUGCAGAGCCUCGGAAUAGCGACAUUGACAUCUGUCUGGCACAUAAUGGCCUUCAAGGUGUCCUAAGUUUACAAAGCUCUUUCCCAGGCAUCUCUCAGUUGUCUCCCAUAACAAGCCUUGGGGCCCAGUAAAGCAGGCUGUAUUAACCGCAGUUUACGGAUGAGGGAACCAAGACUUAGAGACACAAAAGUGACAGGCCCCACUCCAAGUCACUCAACAAAUUGGUCACAAAGUUCAGCACAGGACCAUAUUAUCCCCUCUCCUUCAGCCAGAGCCUCAUUUUUGCCUCUUUUAUAUCUUCUGUUUCCCAGGUAGAUUUUGCUUGAUAAAAAGGGGUCUGCUGCUUUAAAAGGUUUGAAAGCUCCAGAAUAAUGUUUCCAAAUUCCCCGCGAAUACUUCUGUUCAGUAUUCAGGAAUGAGAAAUUGAAAUUUCUGGGAAUUCAUGAGCAUUCCUGAAAUUAUACAUUAAAUUUUUUUUUUUUUGGAGACAGGAUCUUACUCUGUCACCCAGGCUGGAGUACAGUGGUACGAUCAUAGCUCACUGCAGCCUCGAACUCCUGAGCUCAAGUGACCCUCCUUCCUCAGCCUCCCGAGUAGCUGAGACUAUAGGUACAUGCCUAUAGAGUGUGCCCCUAACAUCUUCAUGUUAGCCAUUAGGGUGCUCCUGGCUAUUUUGUUUUCUUCUUUUCUAGAGACAGAGUCUUACUAUGUGACCAGGCUGGUUUUGAACUCCUGGCCUCAAGCUAUCUUCCUGCUUCAGCCUUUCAAAGUGUUGGGAUGACAGGUGUGAGUCACUGCGCCUGGCUCAUAUUUUCUAUAACAUUAUAUUCACAUACUUUUAAAUAAUAAUGAAUGACCAGAAUAAUAAACAGUUAAUAAUUGUCAGUGACAAAUUGAUGCUAAAAGUUCCAGACUUUUUCCUUAAGGUUUAUUAUUAUUAUGAACCAAUAUGUUGUGACAAGAUUAUUUCAAUAACAUAAAAAUUAUCUCCACCUGAUAUAGGCACUGGAUAUAGAAAACAUUAAAAAGGAGGGAACAUUAUUGCAAAAUAAAUGCCAGAUAAAAAUCACUUAAAAAUGGAAAAAUAAUAGCACAAACAUUUAAUUUUAAAAGUUAUUUUUAAAAUGAACUUUUAAAACACAAAGCUUUAAUUGCUCUAUCUGAUAGUUUUGAUCUUUGUUUUGUGACAAAUAUUCUAGAUGUAGGAAACUUUUUUGUUUUUUCAUUUUUCAUUGAUGUUGGUUGAGUGUGCCCCUAACAUCUUCAGGUUAGCCAUUAGGGUACAUGUUGUUUUAUAGAAGCUCAUUUCCUUUUUAAAUGAUGCUUUAUUUUUAUUUUUACUUUUUGGUCUGCUUACUCUGGUCUUGAUUUUGCCAUUGAGAUCAAUAUUGCUCUUGCUAAUUCAGAUUUUAGAGCAAUUUCUGAUUUCCUUCUGGAGUGUUCUAUAACAGCAAUCACGUCUUCUUUUUGCAUCUCUUCUGUUAAAGUAUUUACAAAGAACUGUAGCCUAUAAUGAAUAUUCAACACGUGGAAAUGCCAGCAAUCAUUACUGGGAAGUGUUCAAAUAACUAACAUUCAGACUCACUAACAAGGUUCAUAGAAUCACUUGUUGGAAUUGCCAGUUUCAAGACUUAUUUUGCUUUCAAAAUUUGUUAUUUUUUUCCGACACUGCUCAUAGGACUUGUAUAAGUAUCCUAUGUGUACAAACUUACCAAUAUUUGUUUUAUUUGCAAAAAUGACUUACCAUUAGAAGCAGACCAGGUCACAAACACACACUUAUAACCAGUGUGUGCUGGUAAACUGACUCUCCUGGAGAAAAAAAAAAAAACCCUUAUAUGUAGGGUUUGCCAAAUUCUGAGGGGAGGCAUAAAUGUUCCCACAAUGGUCAAUGCCCAGCUACCGAGGGGAUGUCACUGAGAGCUGGGAAGAGCAGCAUACAACUGGCUCUUCUUGAGCCAGCGCUAGCCCACCACCACCUCUACCCUGGCAACAGCAGUCGGAAGACUGAUUAGAUGAUGGCCUUUUCUCUCCUCUACUCCCCAGUUCCAUUCAGAACUUAACUUUCCUAUGGGUGCCUCAGUAUUUUCUACUCUCGCUUUUGAUUUGGUGUCAGUGGAUUCCUUUGAACUAGUCACAUCUAGUUCAACAUGUUGAUUGCUAAGCUUUAAUUCUCACACAAAAACACUCUUACCAGGUUCCUAGAUGUCUUAACUUCUUUUUCUCAGGAAUUGGCAUUUGGAAAAACAGUAUUUCCGAGAAAUGCUGGGAAGGAAUUCCUGCAUAAAAACACAAAUCUGGCCGGGCACGGUGGCUCGUGCCUGUAUUCCCAGCACUUUGGGAGGCUGAGGCAGGUGGAUCAUGAGGUCAAGAGAUCAAGACCAUCCUGGCCAGCAUGGUGAAACCCCAUCUGUACUAAAAAUAUAAAAAUUAGCUGGGCGUGGUGGUGCGCGCCUGUAGUCCCAGCUACUCGGGAGGCUGAGGCAGGAGAAUCACUUGAACCCGGGAGAUGGAGGUUGCAGUGAGCCGAGAUUGUGCCACUGCACUCCAGCCUGGGCAACAGAGGGAGACUCCAUCUCAAACAAAGCAAAACAAAACACAACACAAAUCCAGGAAACCCAAGUAAAACCUAUUUGCUUGACUGAUCGUGAUCCUACUGGAUACAUUCUCCUGGGUCCCAAUUUUGGCCACCGCUCAUUUUCAUUGAUCUCAUUUUAAGGGGUUUGAGGUAUGGAGUCCUUAGGAUUUGGUGUUAAGUUUGGUGAUUUUUCAGAGAGGCCGCACCAGAGCUGCAUCGGUGAUCAUUUGACUUUAUGUCUGACCCUGUGCACAGGGGUCUACUUGUCUCCUAACCUCAGUUUUCCUCUUUUUCCUUAUUAGAAAAACAACAAUAACAUCAACACAGUCCCUCUUGGAACUAGGAAUGGCCAGUAGAAGUGGUGUGUGACUUCUGGGAAAUGUCCUUAAAUAGAGGCGGAAUACUCUUCUUUGUUUUUUCUCCUUUAUCUGGCCAGAAUGUAGAUAUAAUGGCUGGAGCUACAGAAGUCAGAUUGGACCAGAGUGGCCUUGGGAGUAGAAGCCCCAUUUGGGGGAACAAUAAGAUAAAAGGGGCCUGGGUUCCUGAUACUGUGGGAGCCCAUAUCAGUCCUAUACUGCCUUCUUCCAGGCUUUUAUACCAAAGCAAAACAGUCUUAUUUAAACCACUAUUGAUAUGUGGUUUUCUAUCACUCAUAACUGAAACAAAUUAAACAGCACACCAGUGCAUUGUAUUCUGUUACAUAGUUUAUGGGAGGCCAUUGUUUUGGACUAGCCUCCUACACUGGCCCUAGCAGAGCAGAUCAAACCAGAGCAGAGUCACCUGUGCUAACUGCCAAGUCAUCAAACCGGACUUUGAAAUGAGGCAGUUUUCCAAAAACGCAGGAGCUUCCAGUCACCCUGAAUCAGCACAAUAAAAAGUGCCCUCUGCUUUAACCCUAUAAGGAAAGCAACUUUGAAAUGACCAAUCUGCUUUUUGUUCCCUGUUUCUGCUUUCUUCAGCCCUCUUUUAUCCAUAAAGCCAAACUUCUCUGCCCACUUCACUGGAAUACUCAUUCUAUUUCGUAGAAUGAGGUGUUGCCUGAUUCUAGAAUCACAAAUAAAAGCCAAUUUGAUCAUUACAAAUAAUUUGUUGUAAUUUUGCCUUUGGGAAGUUCCUAGUGAAAGCAAAAGCUACUAGCAAGAAUCCUUGAAAGGUUUGUAAUGGAGGUGAAAAUGAAAGACUGUAGCAUUACCCAGUGACUCAGAGAGUGUGGGGGAGGCAGCUGCAUCUAGUGAUAAUGGAUGAUACAUUUGGAAUAGAAGAGGCUGUGGUUUCAUGCAUGCCUGUCUUCCCAUCUGCCAAGAAGGCUGAUGAAUAAGCUUUUAUACUCCUCUAAGUUGGUAAAAGAAGUUUUCAGAUUUUUAAUACUCAAAGGUCUUUUCACAAAUGACUAUGACCUUUUCUUUUCUUUUCGAGACAGGGUUUCACUCCCGUCGCCCAGGCUGGAAUGCAGUGGUGAAAUCUCGGCUCACUGCAACCUCUGCCUCCUGGGCUCAAAUGAUCCUCUCGCCUCAGCCUCCUGAGUAGCUGGGACUACAGGCAUGCAGCACUGCGCCCAGCUAAGUUUUGUAUUUUUUCUAGAGACGGAAUUUUGCCGUGUUGCCUAGGCUGCUCUGGAACUCCUGAGCUCAAGUGAUCCACCUGCCUUGGCCUCCUGAAGUGCUGGGAUUACAGGUCGGAGCCACUGCGCCUGGCCUCUAUGCCUGUGGUCUUUAGUUUGUAGGAACCAGACCACUCAAAGGCUGGAACGUACCUUAUUGCUCUGCCAGUGAAUGGUUUAGGAACUGGCUGAAGGAGCUGGGGAUUCAGUCUAGGAAGAACUUACAGGAGUUGGGAUUGGGUUUGAGAGCUGCUUUCACACAUCUAAGUAAAAAAGAUUUAGCCUUCCUCACAGAGGGCUCUAGGCCAAAACCAGAACCCAAAGGUGGAGGCUGCCAACUUUACCCUAAAUUAAAGAGAAACCUCCUACCCAUCAGAACUGGAUGGAGGUAGCUUUUUGAUAGCAACUCUCCACUGCUGGGAAUAUUUAAUCAAAGGAUGCAGAAGGAGUCAUUAACUGAGCAGCAGUUCCCAUAUACCAGCCUAUGUAUUGGUACCUACCUGUCUAUAACAUUUUCCAGGUCUCAGCCAGGCACGGUGGCUCAUGCUUGUAAUCCCAGCACUUUGGGAGGCUGAGGUGGAAGGAUCUCUUGAGCCCGGGAGUUACCAGCCCGGGCGACACAGGGAGACCCUGUCUCUACAAAUAAUUUAAAAAUUAGCCAGGCAUGAUGGUGCACACGUGUGUGGUCCCAGCUACUUGGAAGGCUGAGGAGGAGAAUCAAUUGAGCCCAGGAGGUCGAGGCUGCAGUGAGCUGUGAUUGUGCUACUGCACUCCAGCCUGGGUAACAAAGCAAGACCCUGUCUCAAAAAAAAAAAAAAAAAAAAAAAGAGAGAGAGAGAGAAAAAAAGGCAAUGUAGUACAUUUUAAAAAUAAAACUAAAUAUUUGCAAUUUGAAGUACAUUCUCUUUAUUCCAAGAUUAUGUUCUUUCUAUUUCAGGAGGUGUUAUAAUGUCUUUUUUUAGUAGUAGGUGGUAUUAGCUAUUGUUGUUUAACACCCUAAUUAGACAACAUAAAAUCUUGGCAAUCCUAUAUAAUUCCAUUAAAAUUUACACUGGCUAUAAGAUCUAGAAGUCUGGUAAUAUGGAUGAGAUGACACCUGGUUGUCUGAAUUGACCUUCCAAGGAUUAGUAGUUCAUUCGAGUGUCUACUAGAUGCCAUUUUUGUGUAUUUACAGCAACUAGAUAAUUUCAUGGUUCAAAUCAGAGAAACCAGUAAUGUGAUCCACGUGCUUAUGGUAACUUAAACUUUAUUGACUAUUCAUUUUUGACACAUAUAGCUACUUUUUGAUAGACAUGAAUUUUCUAUUUGCAUUUAAAAACAAAACUAAUUUUCAAAGUUCUAUUCUCAAAAUGGCAAUGAUGACCUUUCUAAAUGCUCUCUUUAAAUAAUCCUCCAAUAUUCUCAGAAAUUUAGUGUACCUACAGCAAACUAUUUCUCUUAGUAAAAGCCUUCUGUGAGCAACUUAACUGUCUGAUGUCUUUAUCCGUGUGAGCAGGGACUGGGUCCUGUCCUUUUUCUUUUUUUUUUUUGUUUGAGAUGGAGUCUCCCUCUGUUGCCAAGCUGGAGUGCAGUGGCAUGAUUUUGGCUCACUGCAACCUCCACCUCCAGGGUUCAAGUGAUUCUCCUGCCUCAGCCUCCCAAAGUAGCUGGGACUACAAGUAUGCGCCACCACGCCUGGCUAAUUUUUGUAUUUUUAGUAGAGACAGGGUUUCACCAUGUUGGCCAGGAUGGUCUCGAUCUCUUGACCUCAUGAUCCUCCUGCCUCGGCCUCCCAAAGUGCUGAAUUACAGGUGUGAGCCACCACGCCUGGCCUGGUCCUGUCCAUUUUUACAGAGCAGAGAGCAUCUAGCAUGCCACCACAUUAAUGUAAUGAUAAUAAUUUCCAUUUGUCUAGAGACUUAUGCUUUACAAGGCCCUUAUAGUUUACUUCCCCUUAAUGGUAGUUCAAGUAGCAGAGAAUGACCUUUUCAUUGUCCUUCUCUGUGAUAAGCCAAAGUGAAUGUAAUGUACAUUCUUCAUAGUGAAGGCUUUCUACCUCAUUCAUUUAUUCACAAAAUAUUUAUUGAGCAUGAUUAUGUGUUAAGCACUGAACUGUGCUCUGUGCUGCUGGGCACUGUGUGUUAGGUACAAACACGGCAGAUGGAGCCCCUUCCCCCAUGAAAUGAACAUUCUAAUGGGGCGUUAGUCAAUAAACAAAUAAAUAAAUAGAUUGUCAGGGGGUAAUGAGUGUUAUGGGGAAGAAUAAAGCAGUGGGAGCUGGGAAGCAAUGGGAGGAUGUCAAUCUUAGGGACAUGAGAAGGCACCCUCAUGCAGAGACUUGGGCAACGUGAAGGAUCGCCACUGUGUGACCAACUGGAGGAAGCACGUUCCAAGUCUUGUGGCAGAAAGGAGCUUGGCUGUUUGAGAAUCAGCAGUGAUAUCAGUGUGGCUGGAGGGAAGGGAAGGUGGGACGAGUGGGUGGGAGAUAAUUUCCAGAGGUGGACAGGAUGCAGAUUAUAUGGGAGUUUGGAUUUGAUUCUCAAGUGUGAUGGGACACUAUUGGAGGGUUUUGAGCUGGGGAGAGACAUGCCAUGAAAUGUGAAGUCUGGCCUGCAGGGAAGCAGGUACACCAACUGAAUGAGUUCAAUUUGGAGAUAUAUAUAUUUGAGAUGGAGUUUUGCUCUUGUUGCCCAGGCUGGAGUGCAAUGGCACGAUCUCAGCUCACCGCAACCUCCGCCUCCUGGAUUCAAGCAAUUCUCCUGCCUCAGCCUCCCGAGUAGCUGGGAUUACAGGUGUGUGCCACUACGCUCGGCUAAUUUUGUAUUUUUUUAGUAGAGAUGGGGUUUCUUCAUGUUGGUCAGGCUGGUCUCGAACUCCCAACCUCAGGUGAUCCGCCCACCUCGGCCUCCCAAAGCGCUGGGAUUACAGGUGUGAGCCACCGUGCCCGGCCCAAUUUGGAUAUAUUUUAAAGGACUACCUGAUGCGUUAAAUGUAGAAGAUGGGGGAAUGUAGAAUGCUCCACAGAGUUUUGUCCUGAGCAGCCAGGAGAAAACAAGAUGGAACCCAGUGACUGGCCACCAUGGACACAUGCAAGGGAGAAGGAGAAGUCCCCAGUAGGAAAAGGAAUGUGUACAAUGAAAUGUAAUGAUGUAUAAUACAUUGGCUGUUUUUGAAUUCCAACCAUGGAUUUCCCAGCUACUGGCAGUGAAACUGAUCUUUUCUGUGACACGCCUGUCCCCCUUUGUCUUCUGCCAUGAGUGGAAACUUCCUGAGGCCUCACCAGAAGCUGAGCAGAUGCUGGUACCAAACUUGUACAGCCUGUAGAACCACAAGGCAAAUAAAUCUCUUUUUGAAAAUAGAUUACCCAGUCUCAGAUAUUCCUUUAUGGCAAUGCAAAAUGGACUAACACACAGCCCUAAACCUAAUUAAACCCCUAGAAACCAUUACAUCCUCCAAAGUAAUCAAUUCCCCCAAAACUAAUCAUACCCCUUCCCCUAAGCACUCCCAAUCACCAAGUUAACCACUAGCCAUGAUCCACCAAUCAUCCAUGAAACAAAUGUCAUUGUGGCAGAGACCACUAAUCUUUCAAUAUCCAUUUUUCACUUCCUCAUUUCACCAAUAAAACCCUCUACAUUUUAGCUGAGCACAUGACCUCACAGACAGAUAUGAUAUCUCCUGCAAUCCUUUGCAUCUGGGUAAGGCCAUAUGACUAACUUCUGGGUAAUGAGAUGUUUGCAAAAACAAUGCGUUCAACUUCCAAGUCAAGUCCUUAGGAAAAACUAUCCAUUCUUUCUCUGUCCCCCUUUCUUUGGGCUGGACGGUUUGAAGGGAAGUGGUGAGCCGGAUUUAAUCAUUUGCAUGAGGACAACACUAUAGGGUAAGGUGGAGCAGGAAGAAAGAAUGGGGCACCCAAGUCUUCUUGGGGAGCAGUGCAGCCUACAUGCCUUGGACUGUCUACUUUGGCCCCAGAUGUAAUGUAACAAGACUACGCAUCUUAGCAAGAUGAAAAAUUGUUUAAAAAAUUAAGUUUCCACUU
rnacentral:lncRNA from 1 species